AAUCAUCCCACUUCCAUCAUGACUCUUGACAGGUUAUUAAAAUAUAUGUGUUCAUGUGGUUAAUUUUUGACCCGGGAAUGGAAGAUGGAGAAACGACAGCAGUGUUGAAAAGAAGGAACAGUUGUGUACGUGUGUCUACGCACGUAAGACGGAGCUGCAAGGGAGACCACACCUGUCGGCAUCUUCAGAGGUGGUGAAGUCAGGGUCCUCCGUGGGAGGCACCUGUGUCACGCCGGCACUGCUGUCUAACGUUCUGCUGUCCCUGUGGAUUAUGGAGCUCACGCUGCCUGCGCCUUGCCACAGCCGGGCUAUGUUCUGAGCCCUCUUCAGUCCACCCUCACGCCUCCAUGAAGUAGGUGUUGUUAUCCUGUUUCAAUUAGGGUCCAGGCAGGAGACAGAAACCAUACUAGUUCUUUAAACAGAGAAAAUGGAAAACAAAGUUGUCAACCAGGUACAUAGCUGAUAACUAGUAACUAGAAGGGUAAAAAGGGGCCUCUAAGCUAUCAAGGAGGCAGCAACUGUAGGAGCAGCCGCUGUCCCCAGGCUGGGAGGGCGCGGGCGGAGGCUGGGACCAUCAAAACCCAGGUGUGCAGAGCAGGGAGCCUCAGGCCUCCGCUGGUGCUGGGGGCUCUGGGGGCUCAGGGAAGCUGGCCCUGUGGGUGCCGGAAAACUGCAAACUGGGUUUAGUUGCUGUGGCUACGAAGGAAAAGCUUUGGGGACAUGAGGCUCUCAGGAGCAGGAAGACGAGCGGGGGCCUGGACAAGGACGGACAAGUCCCUUCGUCAUUCUUGGUCCCUCCAGUGUCCUCCUGGUGCCCACGGUCAGCAGGGCUAGGAAGCCAGUUUGCAAACCUGAAACGUGGUCUUCAGAGGGCCAGCCAGAGCCUCACAAAGCAGAGUGUGGAAGGGUGGUGGGGAGAAAAGAGAAAAACAGCUCAAUAUCUGGAGCAUAGCCUUACUUUCACAUAUGAAGAAACUGACACACAAAAAGAUCAAAAGUUAUGGGAACAUUACCCAAAUCACAGAAAUUUGAAGCCACAAAGCCAAGAUCCGACCCGAGUCCCCCUGAUCCCAGGCUCUACGUGCUAAGAGCCGCACAGCCGUGCUCCCUGUCCGCGUCGCCCCGGGUCGCUGUCCACCUUCCACUCCUGCGCCGCCGGCUCCUCCCAGGGUGCUCUCCGUGGCG
rnacentral:lncRNA from 1 species